GAACAGCCAAUCAAAAAAACGGACGUCUUCCGGGAGUAGGAGAGAACCCGCCUCUUCCCUCGGUGACGUCACAAGGUAGCGCGUAGCUGAGACUGCGGCGCGGGUAACGCUGCAGAAUACUAGAUGGCUCAGAGGGGACUCUACAAAGGGGCGGGCCUUCUCGAGGAGGAAACAUGGGUGAGGGGUUGAGUUGUCUCCGGUGGCAAUUGGAUCGAAUGACUGACAGAGGAUAAAAGCGAAUGCGAAUUUCAAACACUCCAUCGGUUCUCUCGGACUAACGCCGGAGAGAGCGUGAGCUUGACUCGGGGACGCCUCUCCAGGUGAAGUACUUACCUUUUGACCAAUAACUAAUAGAAUUAGGAGGGGCUUAAUGAUUUGGUCCAAUAAAAGUCAGGGGAAAAAGAGUAGAGUCAGAGAGUAAACCUUCGUGAACAUUUGCCCAAUUGGGUUGGGGCGCUCUCACCCAAACCUGUCACUAGCUGUUAGAAAUGGCCGCGACCGGGACCUUUGGGCGGGGCGAGUUUAAAGCGGCUUUCGCGCGCUGAGAGCGUCGGGCUGUUAUUGGCCAGCGACUUCCUCCCUUUGUGGGAGCUCCCUGCGUAGCCGGGGUUAGGCAUUGGGAGGAGCGACCGAGAGACGCAGUACUCUCCCCAGCCAAUCAGGAAUGGGGAAGGGGGCCGAGAAGGAAGCGGAUCCGCUGCCGCGCAGCUAAACCGCAAAGAACUAUCCGCUUCGUCUCCCUCCGCCGCUAUCGGGGCCUAAGCAGGAGCGGCUGGGUCGGCGUCACUUGGUGGGCUGGGGCGGAAGUGGAGGCGGAGGGAGACGGCGUCGGCCGCAGGGCCCUGGGAUCUCGCAGCAAGGCCCUGGUGGGCGCGAGGCGGGGGGGGGGGGGAGGAGGAGGAGCCCGCGGCCCGGGCGGCGGUGGCGGCUGCGGCGCCCGAGUUCUCCGUAGGGCCCCGCCUCGGAGCGGGCGGCGGUGGAGGAGGAGACUGAGCAGGAUGGCGGCCUCGGCCCUGUACGCUUGCACCAAGUGUACCCAGCGCUAUCCCUUCGAGGAGCUCUCCCAGGGCCAGCAGCUCUGCAAGGAAUGUCGGAUUGCACAUCCUAUUGUAAAAUGUACUUACUGCAGAUCAGAAUUUCAACAAGAGAGCAAAACUAAUACAAUUUGUAAGAAGUGCGCUCAAAAUGUGAAGCAAUUUGGCACGCCUAAGCCUUGUCAAUACUGUAACAUAAUUGCAGCAUUUAUUGGUACAAAGUGUCAGCGUUGCACAAAUUCAGAAAAAAAAUAUGGACCACCUCAGACGUGUGAGCAGUGCAAACAACAAUGUGCUUUUGAUCGGAAGGAGGAAGGAAGAAGAAAGGUUGAUGGAAAGUUGUUAUGCUGGCUCUGUACUUUAUCAUACAAGAGAGUUUUACAGAAGACGAAAGAACAAAGGAAGAGCCUGGGAUCUUCACAUUCAAAUUCAUCUUCUUCGUCUCUUACUGAGAAAGACCAGCAUCAUUCAAAACAUCAUCACCAUCAUCAUCAUCAUCACCAUCGUCACAGCAGUAGCCAUCACAAAAUCAGCAAUCUGAGUCCAGAACAAGAGCAGGGACUGUGGAAACAGAGCCAUAAAUCCUCUGCGGCAAUUCAGAGCGAAACUCCAAAGAAAAAGCCCAAAUUGGAAUCUAAGCCAUCUAAUGGAGAUAGUAGCUCUAUAAAUCAGUCAGCAGAUAGUGGGGGAACAGACAAUUUUGUCCUUAUAAGUCAACUGAAAGAAGAGGUGAUGUCACUUAAACGUCUCUUACAACAGAGAGACCAGACCAUUUUAGAAAAAGAUAAAAAGUUAACUGAACUAAAGGCAGACUUUCAGUACCAAGAGUCAAACCUGAGAACAAAGAUGAACAGUAUGGAAAAAGCUCACAAAGAAACUGUGGAACAACUUCAGUUAUUAAUGCUGAAUGAUUACCUGGAAACAAAAUCUGCAUGAUGAUCUCUGAUUUAAUGUGUUGUAACCAGAUCUCUGGAGUAUAUCCAGAAUGAAGUAACAGAAAAACGGCCAAAAACAGAGAACUACUUAAACAGGUUGCAGCAUUGUCAAAGGGUAAAAAGUUUGACAAAAGUGGAAGCAUACUAACAUCCCCU